UACAGAGGUCUCAAGCGUUGUUCGGAUUCAUUGGGCGUAAAGGGUGCGUAGGUGGCGUUAUAAGUCAGGUGUGAAAUCUCGGGGCUCAACCCCGAAACUGCACUUGAUACUGUAAUGCUCGAGUACUGGAGAGGGGAUUGGAAUUUACGGUGUAGCAGUGAAAUGCGUAGAUAUCGUAGGGAAGACCAGUGGCGAAGGCGAAUCUCUGGACAGUUACUGACACUGAGGCACGAAGGCCAGGGGAGCAAACGGG
rnacentral:rRNA from 1 species